rnacentral:rRNA from 1 species
GGAACAUGGGGGGCAGCGGGGGGGGUAAAGGGUGGGGGGGGUGCGUGAUCCGGAUUGUCUGGGCGUAAGGGGCGUGCGGGUGGUGGGGUAAGUUGGUUGGGAAAUCGCUUGGCUUAACUGGGAGGGGACGCUCAAGACUGCUCGGCUUGGGGUCGAGAGAGGGGUGCAGAAUUCCCGGUGUAGUGGUGGAAUGCGUAGAUAUCGGGAGGAAUACCAGUGGCGAAAGCGGCGCCCUGGCUCGCACCUGACACUGAGGCGCGAAAGCGUGGGGAGCGAACGGGAUUAGAUACCCCGGUAGUC